UACGAAGGGGGCUAGCGUUGUUCGGAAUUACUGGGCGUAAAGCGCAUGUAGGCGGAUCGCUAAGUCAGGGGUGAAAUCCCGAGGCUCAACCUCGGAACUGCCUUUGAUACUGGCGAUCUUGAGUCCGGGAGAGGUGAGUGGAACUCCGAGUGUAGAGGUGAAAUUCGUAGAUAUUCGGAAGAACACCAGUGGCGAAGGCGGCUCACUGGCCCGGUACCGACGCUGAGAUGCGAAAGCGUGGGGAGCAAACAGG
rnacentral:rRNA from 1 species